rnacentral:rRNA from 1 species
AGGAUAAACGCUGGCGGCGUGCCUAACACAUGCAAGUCGAACGCGCUUUCGGGCUUCGGUGCGAGAGCGAGUGGCGGACGGGUGAGUAACACAUGGGUACCUACCUUGGAGUGAGGGAUACCGGCGAGAAAUCGCCGACAAUACCGCAUAGGCUUCUUCACAAGGGAAGCAAAGUGACGCGAGUCACGCUUUGAGAUGGGCCUGUGGCCGAUUAGCUAGUUGGGGGGUAACGGCUUCCCAAGGCGACGAUCGGUAGCUGGUCUGAGAGGACGAUCAGCCACACUGGGAUUGAGAACGGCCCAGACUCCUACGGGGGCAGCAGUGAGGAAUUUUCCGCAAUGGAGGCAACUCUGACGGAGCAACGCCGCGUGCAGGAGGAAGGUUUCGGAUCGUAAACUGCUUUUCGUCGGGACGAGCAAGGACGGUACCCGAGGAAGAAGCCCGGCUAACUACGCGCCAGCAGCCGC